rnacentral:rRNA from 1 species
AAAACAACUUUCGGCAACGGAUUUUUAGGUUUUCCAAUCAUUAAAAAACGUACCGAAUUGCAAUAUUUGGUGUGAAUUGCAAAUUCCCCCAAAUCUUCAAUUUUUUAAACCCAAUUUGCCCCCAAACCCUUUCGGCCAAGGGAACUUUUGCUUGGUUGUCACGC